GGCAACUUCGGUUAGUGGUUAUUCCGUUGGCCUGCUAAGCCAAUGCCUUCGGGCGCGUGAGUUCGAAUCUCACAGUUGUCG
rnacentral:tRNA from 5 species